rnacentral:misc_RNA from 1 species
GAUGAAGAACGUAGCAAAAUGCGAUAAGUAAUGUGAAUUGCAGAAUUCAGUGAAUCAUCGAAUCUUUGAACGCACAUUGCGCCCGCCAGUAUUCUGGCGGGCAUGCCUGUUCGAGCGUCAUUUCAACCCUCAAGCACAGCUUGGUGUUGGGACUCGCGUUAAUUCGCGUUCCUCAAAUUGAUUGGCGGUCACGUCGAGCUUCCAUAGCGUAGUAGUAAAACCCUCGUUACUGGUAAUCGUCGCGGCAACGCCGUUAAACCCCAACUUCUGAAUGUUGACCUCGGAUCAGGUAGGAAUACCCGCUGAACUUAAGCAUAUCAAUAAGCGGAGGA